GAUGAACGCUGGCGGCGUGCCUAAUACAUGCAAGUCGAGCGAACAGACGAGGAGCUUGCUCCUCUGACGUUGGCGGCGGACGGGUGAGUAACACGUGGAUAACCUACCUAUAAGACUGGGAUAACUUCGGGAAACCGGAGCUACUACCGGAUAAUAUAUUGAACCGCAUGGUUCAAUAGUGAAAGACGGUUUUGCUGUCACUAAUAGAUGGAUCCGCGCCGCAUUAGCUAGUUGGUAAGGUAACGGCUUACCAAGGCAACGAUGCGUAGCCGACCUGAGAGGGUGAUCGGCCACACGGGAACUGAGACACGGUCCAGACUCCUACGGGAGGCAGCAGUAGGGAAUCUUCCGCAAUGGGCGAAAGCCUGACGGAGCAACGCCGCGUGAGUGAUGAAGGUCUUCGGAUCGUAAAACUCUGUUAUUAGGGAAGAACAAAUGUGUAAGUAACUAUGCACGUCUUGACGGUACCUAAUCAGAAAGCCACGGCUAACUACGUG
rnacentral:rRNA from 1 species